GACAGAGGGUGCGAACGUUGUUCGGAAUUACUGGGCGUAAAGCGCAUGUAGGCGGCAGCGCAAGUCGGGCGUGAAAUCCCACGGCUCAACCGUGGAAGUGCACUCGAAACUGCGCAGCUAGAGUCCUGGAGAGGAAGGUGGAAUGCUUGGUGUAGAGGUGAAAUUCGUAGAUAUCAAAGCGGAACACCGGUGGCGAAGGCGGCCUUCUGGACAGUGACGUGAACGCUGAGAUGCGAAAGCGUGG
rnacentral:rRNA from 1 species